UACGGGGGGAGCAAGCGUUGUUCGGAUUUACUGGGCGUAAAGGGCGCGUAGGCGGCCAGCACAAGUCAGUUGUGAAAUCUCCGAGCUUAACUCGGAAAGGUCAACUGAUACUGUGCGGCUAGAGUGCAGAAGGGGAAACUGGAAUUCAUGGUGUAGCGGUGAAAUGCGUAGAUAUCAAGAGGAACACCUGCGGCGAAGGCGGGUUGCUGGGCUGACACUGACGCUGAGGCGCGAAGGCUAGGGGAGCGAACGGG
rnacentral:rRNA from 1 species